CUUUUCUACUAUCUCUAAGCAUUACUUGCUUUUAGUCAAGUAAAAUAUAAAGUUAUUAAUCAUUGUGAUUCAAUAUUAGGAAGCUGCAAGUGACACAACAUUGAACACCUUCGGUCAUGACUUGGAUCAAAAUGGUAGAUCAACUUCUCAUUCUAGCGUCCUUCAAGGAGAUUUAGAAUUAUCUAUUCUCUCUGGAACUACUAGUGAUAUAACUUUGGACUCCUUUGGUCAUGACUUAGAUCAAAAUGGUAGAUCCACCUCUAAUUCUAACAACCUCGGUGGUGAUUUACAGUUGUCCCUCCUAUCUGCAACUACUGGUGAUACAACCGUGAACUCCUUCGGUCAUGACUUUGAUAAGAAUGGUAGAUCCACUCCUCAUUCUAACGCUCUCACCGGUGAUUUAGAUAUGUCUCUUCUCUCUGCAACUACUAGUGAUAAAACUUUGGACUCCUUCGGACAUGAAUUAGAACCAAAUGAUAGAUCCACAUCUCAUUAUAACGACCUCGGUGGUGAUUUAGAGUUGUCUUGUCUCUCCGUAACUCCAAAAGAUACAACACCCCUUCUCAAAUGACAUAGGAAUUGAUUCCAGCGUUGUCCAUCUUUUGGAUUCUUCAAUUCUUGAUUUAGAUAAUUCAGCCAAAUUUUUAAAAGAAGAUUCGCUUUUACAUCCAAACAGCAAUUCAAUCUCACAGCCGUCAGAGAUUGAUGAUUGCCGAUUUCCCGAGUUGUCAUCGAACAUGAUUCCAGAUCCAGUCACUUCAUUUAACCGUGAAAUUUUCCUGAUAUUACAAAACUACAAGAAAACAGGCGAUAGUCAUGCCGCCAUUAGUCACCUUCACGAGUUACAAGUAGAAAGCUUUCAUAACGAACUGGUUUAUUCAAUAGUGAUGGAAGCAGUUGAUUCCGAACUGGAAGUGGAUGAAACUAGAUUGCUUAAAUUGCUAACGUCAUUUGUGUUGGCGAAAAUUAUUGCGAAUGAUCAAGUGAAUAAGGUAAUUAAAUUGUUCAGAAUUAUUUCAAGUGUUUAAGGUAAUGUAACAAUAAUGUUUUCAUUUUAGGCCAUGUUGAAAAUCUUUGAUAUGCUUGAGUGGAUUCAUAGAAAUAUACCAAACGGUAUACGGAAACUUGUGCGGUUCUGCAACACAUGUAAACCGGUCGGUAUUAUCGGGAAUGAUUUGAUAUCAAUUCUGAAUUCUAAUUGUCUUAAGAUUGCUGUAAAAGAAGUGGAUUCAAGUAACAACACCAAUGAAGUGACUAAGGAGCCAAAGGAAUAUAAAGAAAAAAAAGAAGAAAAUUUUGUCUAAAGAGUCUUUAACUAACAACAGAAUGUUUGUUCGCAAGCUUCGUCAUCAAGUCGUAAAUCUUGAAAAGGAGAUAAAGAAGUUGGAAAACUUAGUAGGAUUACAAACAAUCAAGCUAUGCAAAUUGGAUAAGCGGAUGACAGCUGCAAUUAAAUCGUUGGUGAGUGUUUUUGAAGAAGAACUUGACAAGCAGUCUGAACAACAUGCAAAAGCUUCAUUUCUGUUAUGCCAGCUCUUGAACUUCAAUAAAGAUAGCUGUAGGG
rnacentral:lncRNA from 1 species